rnacentral:rRNA from 1 species
GGACGAACGCUGGCGGCACGCUUAACACAUGCAAGUCGAACGGAGUUAUUUUGAGUUACUUAGAAUAACUUAGUGGCGGACGGGUGAGUAACACGUGAGCAACCUACCUUAGAGAGAGGGAUAGCUUCUGGAAACGGAUGGUAAUACCUCAUAACGUAACUGUACCGCAUGAUAUAGUUACCAAAGAUUUAUCACUCUGAGAUGGGCUCGCGUCUGAUUAGAUAGUUGGUGAGGUAACGGCUCACCAAGUCGACGAUCAGUAGCCGGACUGAGAGGUUGAACGGCCACAUUGGGACUGAGACACGGCCCAGACUCCUACGGGAGGCAGCAGUGGGGAAUAUUGCACAAUGGGGGAAACCCUGAUGCAGCGAUGCCGCGUGGAGGAAGAAGGUUUUCGGAUUGUAAACUCCUGUCUUAAAGGACGAUAAUGACGGUACUUUAGGAGGAAGCUCCGGCUAACUACGUGCCAGCCGCCGC